UGGGCUGUGGCUCAGCGGUAGAGUGCUCGCCUAGCACAUGUGAGGCCCUGGGUUUGAUCCUCAGCACCAA
rnacentral:tRNA from 1 species